UUUGAUACAGCCUUGUAUGGCUCAUUGAAACUUAUGAGCAGCUGGGUUUCUUGUCCCCUAAGCUAUUUUGUUUAGCUAAAUAUUCCUUUACAAGUGUAAGUAUGUGUAAACACAAAGCCUGCUAUCUGGUGCAUAGGCCAUGAAUGUCAACUUUGGGAGAUAGGUUCCAGGCCUUGUUUGUUUGAUCUUUUCUGCAAUUUGAAACUAAAAGAUGAGUUGAUAAUGGACAAGUUAUGAAUAUAUUACAGUUUCAUAAUUUCUGUAGUCUCUAACCAGAUCACAAUAACAACAACAUAGUCUCUUUACAUGACAAUUUUUUAAGUGAAAGCCUUGUGGCUGUUGCCACAGUUUUAAAUACUAUAACACAACAUUAACAUCCCACAUUGUUGGAUAUCUUGGCAAUGUAGGAUGAGUUUGAUGUACCAACAGGGAUAGCUUGCUUCCCAGUGGAUAAAUUACUGCCUUGUUGUAUGAUAGCCUAGGCAGUUAGCUGUUUCUGGGUAGGUCAGAAUUGGUUUUUUCAUUGAUAAUCUCAUUACUUUGGAGAACCACGGUUGGGUGGGCCAAUUGGGAAUUAACAAAACUUAUUCUUCCAGGUCUUGUAGAAUAUUCUGAUUUGUCCUGCCCAAAAUACUGCAUCCACAGCUAAUGCCAGUCAGGGUCAAGUUUCCAUGAGACAUAUUUUUCAACCUAAAAUCUCACUGUUGAGGAAAUAAUUCAACUUCUGUUAUGAUAAGCAGUAACGUAUUUAAAAGGGCUUUAAACUGCUACUCUGUUUGGUCAUUAAAUAUUUAGGAUGCUUGGUCAGCCUGAACAUUUUAAUUACUAGGUAGGUGGACUGCACACAGCCAAAUAUUUUUGUUAAGAGACCAAAGCCAUAUGUUUUGGGCCAAAGCAUUAUAUGGUAGAGAAUGACUGCCACCCAUAUUGUUUAUGCAACUGUAACUGCCUCUACACAAGAUGUUUGAUGCAAAAAAGGCAGCUUUUAAUUCUAAGACAUUUAUGUGCUGCGAGGUUUCAUUUCUAGAACACCUACCACCUGUUGAUUUGUCCUCAUAUGCUGCAUCCCAACCAAGAUGCAAGGCAUAUGAUGUUAACUCUAUAUGUGGUGUAGUCCUGUGGACUGGUAUAUAACCAUAACCAUCACAGAGAUUGUUGAUUGGCCAGGCAGUCUUGUCUUGCAGCCUGUGAAGUGAUCAUUGGGUUGCCAAAAUUUCCUUGGUUUUCUCUGAGGGCAAGAAUUUCAUUUUCUUAAGUUGCCGAUAAUAGUGUUGACCAAACUGUACCCCUGGGAGACUUGCAACUAUACUCCCAAUAACCUCAGCAACCUUCCUAAUGGUUGGUGAAUUCCUUGAAAGUAAAUCUUGUGUGGGUGCUAUGAAGAAUCAGCUUUGUUAGUAGUAAUGGAGAUACACAUAAGCUGAGAGUCCAAAAUAAACUCCAGAAAAGUCAGCCUUCUAGUUGGUAUCAAAACAGAUUCCCCUGGAUAAAUAGUAAAACCAAGACUUUGGAACAUAUAAAUAGUAUCUGUAAAUGUUGUUUUUCUAUGAAACAAAGGUUUUUCCCUUCAAAUGUGAAUCAUCUGGAGUGCAUAACCUACAGACAUGUGGCCUUUCCAUUGUAAGGUGGAAUAGGCAGGAACUUUGUGAACCUUCUUGCUGCACAGCAGAGACGAUUAGGGGUACUGAACUUUGCUCAGAUAUCCUUUGUGGGUAGACUGUGCUCUGUGAUAUGGUCUGUGACCAUAUUUUGACCACCUCUGCUUGCUCUUUGCAUGAAGAAAUAACUGCAGCUACCAUAUAAUAAACAUUUUUGCUCACAGCUUGUCAGUAUCAAUUCAUGCUCCUGAGGGUGGAAGGAAAGGUAAAAAGUAAAGUCAGCCAAGGAGCCAGAUCAAAACCUUUCUGGUUGGACAUAAUGUGCCUAUUUCAGUAGCAUGAAGGGACCUUAAAGGUGGAAAAGGCAAUGGAAAGCACAACACAGAGGCUAAAGCUCUAACCAUAAAUUAUCUCUGGCUUGUUGACCAGUGAGACAUUGUCUCCCAAAUGUACUUCACGUGGAUCGUGCUCGGAUUGGUCACCAGUUACAUCUGGUGUCCCACAAGGCUCAGUACUGGGACCGGUUAUGUUCCUUAUUUAUGUGAACGAAAUACCUGGCAUCAUCACGUCUACUGCCAAAUUAUUUGCCGACGAUACCAAAAUCUACCGACAGAUAAAUAAUAUCGAUGAUUCUAUUGCUUUACAGAUAGAUCUGACCACCCUCGACCUGUGGGCGGAUCGUUGGCAGAUGAAAUUUAAUUCUACCAAAUGUGAAGUCAUGAGAAUUACACAUAACAGAGACAAAAAGUCCACACGGUACAAUAUAUCGAGUACAGUGUUGAGGAAUGUAUCUAAUUACAAAGAUCUUGGAGUUAUUAUGACUAGUGAUCUGAAAUGGUCAAAACAUGUUGAACAAAUAGUUCACAAAGCAAAUAAGGUUCUUGGCUUACUUAAACGCACAGUAGGCGGUAAAAACAAAGAUAUUUUUUCAAACUUGUACAAAACCUUGGUUCGUCCAAUUUUUGAAUACGCCUGCCCGGUGUGGUCACCACACCUCAUCAAAGACAUCGAUGAAAUUGAGAAGAUACAAAGAAGAGCCUCGCGAAUUGCCUUAGGCCAAAGAAGACAAGAGAUGGCGUAUACGGAGAGGUGUAAAAUUCUUAAAUGGAACUCUUUAGUACAAAGGAGAGAUUUCCUUUCCUUAGGGGAAUGUUAUAAAACUGUAUUCAAUCUAAAUGGAUUGAAUUUCAGCGACUAUUUUGAUCUUUGUAAAAACACAAAAUCGAGAUCUAACCACCCAUAUAAACUACAACUCAAACUCGCAAAACUGAACUGUUACAAAAAUUCUUUCUUUGUCUGAAUUAUCAAACCCUGGAAU